CUCCUCCAAUGAAACCAAAAGGGUAUCGUUCUUCCCGUGCCGCCGCCGCCGCCGCCGCUUCAUCCCGACGCCGAAAGCCCGAAACCUAAACACCUCCUCUUCCUCGCACGCCCAUCUCCGGAUUCCAACCAAAUCUCCGGGAUGGCCUCGACCUGCUUCCGCGCCGCCGCCCGCAUGGCCUCCUCCGCCUGCCGCUCGGCGGCCUCCCGCUCAAUCCCCUCCGCCGCGCGGCGCGGCGCCCCUCGCAUCUCCAGGCUGCCGGUGGAGCUCGGGUGCAGCGCGGGGUUGUCGCUGCUGCCGCUGCACAGCGCGGUGGCGGCGGCGAGGCUGACGUCGCGGCUGAGCACGGCGUCGCGGAGCUGCUGCGCGCUCUCUCAGGGUACCCUCUGUCGCACCUAUCCCGGACUUUAACAUCAAUCAAUACCAUCGAUGAGAUGCACUUGCCUGUCUUUUCCGUUUGGAGAUGGGUCAGUCUGUCCCAAGGUGAUAAAUGCUGGAAGACCUGCUCAUGUCGUGCUAUCAGACAAUUGAUUUUGUAGAGUGAACUAAAUUGGUUUCUGUGUUGCCUGAUUUUACCCCUCCUAGAACUGUGGUUCUGUUGGACCUUUCAAAGUUUUUGAGAUAAUGCCCCUUGAUAUCAUUUGUUAAAAACAAUCAAGGACAUAAUGCAAAAGCCCGAGCUGUAUUUCUUAGUUACAAUUCUGGGUGUCUUUCCUGUGAUAAUAAUGAUAAAUGAGAUGCAAUUUACAAGUACUCAAUUGUUGCUA